rnacentral:lncRNA from 1 species
CGGUUCUAGCUUGAACCUUGCUCUGAAUACCACUUGAUACAUCAUGGCUUGAUGUCCUCUUGAAGAUUCGUGAGAAAAGAACCAGGUGGAGGUGAAUCAACCGAAGAAAAUGAAUGGAACAGUACCGGUGGUGAGGCAAUGCUGUAUAAGUGCAGAAACCAGAUCUGUAUGGAUAUAUUUGGUAUGGUGGCACCGGAAGAAGGUGUUUAGCAA